rnacentral:rRNA from 1 species
AGCGAACGCUGGCGGCAGGCUUAACACAUGCAAGUCGAGCGGGCACUUCGGUGUCAGCGGCAGACGGGUGAGUAACACGUGGGAACGUACCCUUGGUUCGGAAUAACGCUGGGAAACUAGCGCUAAUACCGGAUACGCCCUUUUGGGGAAAGGCUUGCUGCCGAAGGAUCGGCCCGCGUCUGAUUAGCUAGUUGGUGGGGUAAUGGCCUACCAAGGCGACGAUCAGUAGCUGGUCUGAGAGGAUGAUCAGCCACACUGGGACUGAGACACGGCCCAGACUCCUACGGGAGGCAGCAGUGGGGAAUAUUGGACAAUGGGCGCAAGCCUGAUCCAGCCAGGCCGCGUGAGUGAUGAAGGCCUUAGGGUUGUAAAGCUCUUUUGUCCGGGACGAUAAUGACGGUACCGGAAGAAUAAGCCCCGGCUAACUUCGUG